rnacentral:rRNA from 1 species
UACGUAGGGAGCAAGCGUUGUCCGGAUUCAUUGGGCGUAAAGGGUGCGUAGGUGGCGCCGUAAGUCGGGUGUGAAAUUUCGGAGCUUAACUCCGAAACUGCAUUCGAUACUGCGGUGCUUGAGGACUGGAGAGGAGACUGGAAUUCAUGGUGUAGCAGUGAAAUGCGUAGAGAUCAUGAGGAAGACCAGUGGCGAAGGCGGGUCUCUGGACAGUUCCUGACACUGAGGCACGAAGGCCAGGGGAGCAAACGGG